UGGGGAAUAUUGCACAAUGGGCGAAAGCCUGAUGCAGCGACGCCGCGUGAGGGAUGACGGCCUUCGGGUUGUAAACCUCUUUCAGCAGGGAAGAAGCGAAAGUGACGGUACCUGCAGAAGAAGCGCCGGCUAACUACGUGCCAGCAGCCGCGGUAAUACGUAGGGCGCAAGCGUUGUCCGGAAUUAUUGGGCGUAAAGAGCUCGUAGGCGGUUAGUCGCGUCUGCUGUGAAAACUCGAGGCUCAACCUCGGGCUUGCAGUGGGUACGGGCUGACUAGAGUGCGGUAGGAGUGACUGGAAUUCCUGGUGUAGCGGUGGAAUGCGCAGAUAUCAGGAGGAACACCGAUGGCGAAGGCAGGUCACUGGGCCGCAAGCUGACGCUGAGGAGCGAAAGCAUGGGGAGCGAACAGGAUUAGAUACCCUGGUAGUCCAUGCCGUAAACGUUGGGCACUAGGUGUGGGGUCCA
rnacentral:rRNA from 1 species